UACGUAGGGGGCAAGCGUUGUCCGGAAUCACUGGGCGUAAAGCGCGCGCAGGCGGCGAUCUACGUCUGGGGUGAAAGCCCGGAGCUCAACUCCGGGACUGCCUUGGAUACGGGAUCGCUUGAGGAUUGGAGAGGCAAGGGGAAUUCCACGUGUAGCGGUGAAAUGCGUAGAGAUGUGGAGGAACACCUGUGGCGAAGGCGCCUUGCUGGCCAAUUACUGACGCUGAGGCGCGAAAGCGUGGGGAGCAAACAGG
rnacentral:rRNA from 1 species